AUUGAACGCUGGCGGCAUGCUUUACACAUGCAAGUCGAACGGUAACAGGGAGCUUGCUCCGCUGACGAGUGGCGAACGGGUGAGUAAUAUAUCGGAACGUACCCAAGAGUGGGGGAUAACGUAGCGAAAGUUACGCUAAUACCGCAUACGAUCCAAGGAUGAAAGCAGGGGAUCUUCGGACCUUGUGCUCCUGGAGCGGCCGAUAUCUGAUUAGCUAGUUGGUGAGGUAAAGGCUCACCAAGGCGACGAUCAGUAGCUGGUCUGAGAGGACGACCAGCCACACUGGAACUGAGACACGGUCCAGACUCCUACGGGAGGCAGCAGUGGGGAAUUUUGGACAAUGGGCGCAAGCCUGAUCCAGCCAUGUCGCGUGUCUGAAGAAGGCCUUCGGGCUGCAAAGGACUUUUGUCCGGGAGCAAAUGCCUGGUGUUAAUAGCACUGGGAGCUGAGAGUACCGGAAGAAUAAGCACCGGCUAACUACGUGCCAGCAGCCGCAGUAAUAA
rnacentral:rRNA from 1 species